GCUCCGGAUGUCCUCUGCUGAAACGGCCGCUCAGUCCCCACGUAGUCUGCAGAAGUCUCCAGGCUCAAGGCGGCAUAGACGCUCAGAGACCCUCAGAAAAAAACCCUCAGAUGGGCCCCAGAAAAAAAUGUCCAUCAAGGCCCUCGGGUUGCAACUGAGGAAGCAGAGACCUGUCAUCCACAGAUUUCCUCAUCGCUACACACUCCUGAUGUCUGUACCUGGAUGUCGCUGGACGCUUGUUGCUCUCUGCCCAUCCCCCAAGCCCCACAUCGAGACCUGUAUGAGAAGGAGGCUCAGUAAGAGUUUAAGGCAGAACAGCCACUUUCCACCAACAUCGUAUUCUUUGCGAAGUGUUUUCCCCUCUGUCACUCCAACUAUUUCUCGUCAAAUCCAUACAAGGGAGGUAUUUCACCCCAGAUGGUGGAUGAAGAAACUGCCCCUGUUGGCUUAGGAGGUAAGGUGGGGAGGCACCAUGAGGGGGCUUGUUCCCUAUUCCCAGGGCACCCCCCGGCCUUCCAAGGGAGGGGGAAGGAGGAGAGGGAA
rnacentral:lncRNA from 1 species